CGUUCGAGGAGCCGGCUGGGACUCGGGACGAAUGGACAGGCCCGAGCCUGCCCUGCCCCCGUCCGGGCGCUGCCGAGUGUUCGGGGUGGUGGGGCGGGUGGCCCAAGGGUGUCGGGGCGAACUCGGAGGGCCCGGCUGUCGGCUCCGGUCACUACGGAGUGGCCUAAGAGUGAAGUCGCCCGGGUCACGCGGGAAGCAGCAAAGAGGGGGGCGGAGGAGUUGCCCCCCCCGCGGGCAGGUCGGGUGCCUGAACGGCGAGAGCGAGCUGAAUUCGAUUCGAUCUCCGCCUUUUACUCCCAGUAGGAUCUUGAGAUGAAUUUUUAGAUGUGAUCUACUGGUUCCGACAGAUCAUUGCUGUGGUCCUAGGUGUCAUUUGGGGAGUGUUACCAUUGCGAGGUUUCUUGGGAAUAGCAGGAUUCUGCCUGAUCAAUGCAGGUGUCCUGUACCUCUACUUCAGCAACUACCUACAGAUAGAUGAGGAAGAGUAUGGCGGCACGUGGGAGCUCACAAAGGAAGGGUUUAUGACAUCGUUUGCCUUGUUCAUGGUCAUUUGGAUCAUCUUUUACACUGCCAUCCACUAUGACUGACGGUGCACAGUCCCCACCUGCUCCCUGUCCGGUCCAAAGGACCCUCUUAGUUACACCACAGAAACACGAUUGUUGGGGGGCACCCCAGCCACGCGGAACCUGGAAGACCCGUGUUUCCUGGACCGAGAAUCAGUGUGUUGGGCGUCAGUGUUUUCUGCAAGGGUUGUGACCUGAAACUUUUUAAAGAACCAUCCACCUUUUGGGGAAGCAUUUCUGAAUUGUCCAUCACCAACCAUUUCUUCUUGGAUACCAUCAUGAAACACCUGUUUGCCGAUUGGAGCUGUCCUUUAAUUUGGUGCACCUCUGGAUCCGGAUGAAACAUUAAAUUGUCUUCCUUUUCCAUCAGGUGUAUGGUUUUUAAACUAUCAAACAUUGGCAUUUCAAGUCUUCUGAAAACAGUAUGGCAGUAUGUGCGUGGUCUAUAGCACAGUACAAGCAGCAUCUAAUAACAGUUUUCAUUGUAGAAUGUUUUCAGAUACUUGAAUAAAUCAGAUCUUUAAUUGA